rnacentral:rRNA from 1 species
CCCAAGGCAGCCAACCCGAAUCCAGCACACCCGCGGAAGCAAGAAGGCGCCACGCCGCGUGACCUAUUAAGCCCUUGAGCGUAAAGCCGGCUUCACGGGACGCGACUGACGGUACCGGAAGAAGAAGCACCGCUAUCCCCC